rnacentral:rRNA from 1 species
GGUUAAGCGACUAAGCGUACACGGUGGAUGCCCUGGCAGUCAGAGGCGAUGAAGGACGUGCUAAUCUGCGAAAAGCGUCGGUAAGGUGAUAUGAACCGUUAUAACCGGCGAUGUCCGAAUGGGGAAACCCAGUGCAAUUCGUUGCACUAUCGUUAACUGAAUACAUAGGUUAACGAGGCGAACCGGGGGAACUGAAACAUCUAAGUACCCCGAGGAAAAGAAAUCAACCGAGAUUCCCCCAGUAGCGGCGAGCGAACGGGGAGCAGCCCAGAGUCUGAAUCAGCUUGUGUGUUAGUGGAACGGUCUGGAAAGUCCGACGGUACAGGGUGAUAGUCCCGUACACCAAAAUGCACAGGUUGUGAACUCGAAGAGUAGGGCGGGACACGUGGUAUCCUGUCUGAAUAUGGGGGGACCAUCCUCCAAGGCUAAAUACUCCUGACUGACCGAUAGUGAACCAGUACCGUGAGGGAAAGGCGAAAAGAACCCCGGCGAGGGGAGUGAAAAAGAACCUGAAACCGUGUACGUACAAGCAGUGGGAGCACCUUCGGGUGUGACUGCGUACCUUUUGUAUAAUGGGUCAGCGACUUAUAUUCUGUAGCAAGGUUAACCGUAUAGGGGAGCCGCAGGGAAACCGAGUCUUAACUGGGCGUUAAGUUGCAGGGUAUAGACCCGAAACCCGGUGAUCUAGCCAUGGGCAGGUUGAAGGUUGGGUAACACUAACUGGAGGACCGAACCGACUAAUGUUGAAAAAUUAGCGGAUGACUUGUGGCUGGGGGUGAAAGGCCAAUCAAACCGGGAGAUAGCUGGUUCUCCCCGAAAGCUAUUUAGGUAGCGCCUCGUGAAUUCAUCUUCGGGGGUAGAGCACUGUUUCGGCUAGGGGGUCAUCCCGACUUACCAACCCGAUGCAAACUACGAAUACCGAAGAAUGUUAUCACGGGAGACACACGGCGGGUGCUAACGUCCGUCGUGAAGAGGGAAACAACCCAGACCGCCAGCUAAGGUCCCAAAGUCAUGGUUAAGUGGGAAACGAUGUGGGAAGGCACAGACAGCCAGGAUGUUGGCUUAGAAGCAGCCAUCAUUUAAAGAAAGCGUAAUAGCUCACUGGUCGAGUCGGCCUGCGCGGAAGAUGUAACGGGGCUAAACCAUGCACCGAAGCUGCGGCAGCGACACUAUGUGUUGUUGGGUAGGGGAGCGUUCUGUAAGCCUGCGAAGGUGUGCUGUGAGGCAUGCUGGAGGUAUCAGAAGUGCGAAUGCUGACAUAAGUAACGAUAAAGCGGGUGAAAAGCCCGCUCGCCGGAAGACCAAGGGUUCCUGUCCAACGUUAAUCGGGGCAGGGUGAGUCGACCCCUAAGGCGAGGCCGAAAGGCGUAGUCGAUGGGAAACAGGUUAAUAUUCCUGUACUUGGUGUUACUGCGAAGGGGGGACGGAGAAGGCUAUGUUAGCCGGGCGACGGUUGUCCCGGUUUAAGCAUGUAGGCUGAUUGUCCAGGCAAAUCCGGAUAAUCAAGGCUGAGGUGUGAUGACGAGGCACUACGGUGCUGAAGUAACAAAUGCCCUGCUUCCAGGAAAAGCCUCUAAGCAUCAGGUAACAUCAAAUCGUACCCCAAACCGACACAGGUGGUCAGGUAGAGAAUACCAAGGCGCUUGAGAGAACUCGGGUGAAGGAACUAGGCAAAAUGGUGCCGUAACUUCGGGAGAAGGCACGCUGGUGUGUAGGUGAAGUCCCUGCGGAUGGAGCUGAGACCAGUCGAAGAUACCAGCUGGCUGCAACUGUUUAUUAAAAACACAGCACUGUGCAAACACGAAAGUGGACGUAUACGGUGUGACGCCUGCCCGGUGCCGGAAGGUUAAUUGAUGGGGUUAUCCGUAAGGAGAAGCUCUUGAUCGAAGCCCCGGUAAACGGCGGCCGUAACUAUAACGGUCCUAAGGUAGCGAAAUUCCUUGUCGGGUAAGUUCCGACCUGCACGAAUGGCGUAAUGAUGGCCAGGCUGUCUCCACCCGAGACUCAGUGAAAUUGAACUCGCUGUGAAGAUGCAGUGUACCCGCGGCAAGACGGAAAGACCCCGUGAACCUUUACUAUAGCUUGACACUGAACAUUGAGCCUUGAUGUGUAGGAUAGGUGGGAGGCUUUGAAGCGUGGACGCCAGUCUGCGUGGAGCCAACCUUGAAAUACCACCCUUUAAUGUUUGAUGUUCUAACGUUGGCCCCUGACCGGGGUUGCGGACAGUGUCUGGUGGGUAGUUUGACUGGGGCGGUCUCCUCCCAAAGCGUAACGGAGGAGCACGAAGGUUAGCUAAUCCUGGUCGGACAUCAGGAGGUUAGUGCAAUGGCAUAAGCUAGCUUGACUGCGAGCGUGACGGCGCGAGCAGGUGCGAAAGCAGGUCAUAGUGAUCCGGUGGUUCUGAAUGGAAGGGCCAUCGCUCAACGGAUAAAAGGUACUCCGGGGAUAACAGGCUGAUACCGCCCAAGAGUUCAUAUCGACGGCGGUGUUUGGCACCUCGAUGUCGGCUCAUCACAUCCUGGGGCUGAAGUAGGUCCCAAGGGUAUGGCUGUUCGCCAUUUAAAGUGGUACGCGAGCUGGGUUUAGAACGUCGUGAGACAGUUCGGUCCCUAUCUGCCGUGGGCGCUGGAGAAUUGAGGGGGGCUGCUCCUAGUACGAGAGGACCGGAGUGGACGCAUCACUGGUGUUCGGGUUGUCAUGCCAAUGGCACUGCCCGGUAGCUAAAUGCGGAAGAGAUAAGUGCUGAAAGCAUCUAAGCACGAAACUUGCCCCGAGAUGAGUUCUCCCUGAGACUAUAAGUCUCCUGAAGGAACGUUAAAGACGAUGACGUUGAUAGGCCGGGUGUGUAAGCGCAGCGAUGCGUUGAGCUAACCGGUACUAAUGAACCGUGAGGCUUAACCUU